GCACAAUCUAAUCAGCUGCCAGUGUGGCCAGAAUAAAAAGCAGGCAGAAGAAUGUGGAGAGAUUAGACUGGCUUAGCCUCCCAGCCUACAUCUUUCUCCUGUGCUGAAUGCUUCCUGCCCUCAAACAUCAGGCUCCAGGUUCUUGAGCUUUGGAAACUCAGACAGGCUUCCUUUCUCCUCAGCUUGCAGAUGGCCUACUGUGGGACCUUGUGAUCAUUUGGCUGGAUAGUGACACUUAAAACCACAGCAAAAGAUGGCCGAGCUUCUACCAGCCUAGGUUCCUGAAUGACCGCAUGGAGCGUGCCCCAGCCCCUGCUGACAGUUGGACUUUAUAUGCUGUAAUAUGCCACCCAGAUUUCUUCUCCAGGCAUGGAAAAUUUGUUCCCCCAGCUGCUAAAGUGCUGCAGGAAGAGAGUCCUCAGCUCUCAGUCCUCUUUGGGGAUUGCUGUGGCAAAAGAAAAUGGAGGUCCAAGAUGAUACCUCCUUCCAAGAGUAACUCACAUACAAUGAUUGAGAGGUGCCUGUUCUUGCUUCAACUUGGGACAAUUUUGAAGGGCCAUCCCAGAUCCAGAGCUUGUCAUCAGGUUGAUUAAUUGAUUACACUUCAACUUCUCCCUCUACCCAAUCCUGCUUUCUUUCCCUCCCUUCCACAAGUGCUGAUCCCAAGACCACUGCCUAAUAAAUGGCCUGCACACUAGUCUCCAUCUCUUCUUCAACUGUAUCUCCACCUCUUCUUCCUGAAGCAUCAUGCUGUGACACAAAUGUUAAUGUAUGUUCGUGUAUCUUAACCCUUGUUGCUAUAUAUUUCCCUUCUGCUCACCUCUAUUUUUCAAGUUUAUAG